ensembl:lncRNA
UGUAGAUCUUGUUUGUGUAAAAAAAAAAAGUGGAAGACUUAAAAAAUUAUUAGCUCUUUUUAUUUUAGAACCAACCUAAAUGGAUGGUUGGUUCUAAAAUACACAAUUUCAGAAUAGAGUGUAAAAUUUUUUUAAAUACUAACUAAAAUAUAACUAAUAUAACUACAAAAUUUAUUGAAAGAUGUGUGGUAGAAAGCACAGUAUGCUAAUUUCCUCGCCUUUCUUGUCACGGAUGUCAAGAGCCACCAUCUCCAUUUGGCAGCAUCGUAGCUGCGAUUACAGGUUCAAAUCGACAGAGAGACUCACAAGACAUAAGUGUGCUUGAGUCUGGUGCAGGGUUUCUCAGCCUGGGCUCUGUUGACUUUUUAGGCUAGCUAACUCUUUGUUGUGGGGGCUGUCCCGUGCACUGUAGGACGUUUAGCAGCAUCCCUGAGCUCUAUCCACUAGAUGCCAGUAGUCCCCCUCCCCAAGUUGUGACAACCAAAAACGUCUCUAGACUAUGACAGAUGUCCCCUGGGAGGGUUUGUGGGGUGCAGGUUGCCCUGGUUGGGCACCACUGGUCUAAUGCUACAUUUACAGGCUUACAGGACACAGUAUAGGAGAUGCAGCAUCCUGAUUUCAUUGGGAGCUUAGCAGCUACCCAAGCACACAGUUGCUUUUGCCUCUCAUCCACAUGGGGUGCUUGUGGCUGCCACAGAUGAGAGACAGGGUGUGUGGGGGCUUCCCUUGACCCACGGAAGCUACUGCCAUUAUUUCUUGCAAAUCUUUUAUGCCUUCCUAGUCCCAGAGGCCCAGGGGCAUGAACAGCUCCCCCAACCAACUGAGGCCAACCCCCAUUCCCUGUUCUCCUUUAGUCUUUCCAAGGACACAGUGCAGUGGGAGGCCCAGGGCCAUGUCAGGGCGCCUCCAUCAGCCAGGGCCACGUGUUAACCCUUUACUCACAAGAGGGGAGUAGGUAAAUAAUUGCAUUAUUUAAAGUUAUAUGAAUAUAUACCUAUUCCAAAAGAAUUUGAAGAAACAAUUUGAAACUUUACCAAAUUAAGAUACAAUGGCGCUCUUCAUAGUUAUUAAAACCAGAAAGUGUGGGAGUGUAGGAUUUUUAGUUUUUAUUUAAUGCACUAUUAUACCAUUUGAAUUUUUUUGAACUAUGUACUUCUAUUGAAAAAGCUAUAACAAAACUGAUUUUAUCAAAAAAUAUAAUAAGACCAGUGCUUUUUAUGUCACAUGACUAGGCUUUUUUCCAUGUAUCUCAUUAUAUUUUCUUCUUUGACGUAAUUGGCUGUUUUGAGAGAAAUCACAAAAAAUACUUUUGUUUCAUAUCAGUGCUAUUUUUUCUUUUAAAGUGUUGCAAGUGGAUAAGAAUCAUACCUUCCUGAAAGUGCUGAAGGUUCUGCCUUGGGAAUUUCUAGAAUUUACUGUUUGGAAUUCUAGGCUAUUGGAAACGUUGAGUUGAAUGCAUAGUUGGUUCUAAAGUAAACCGUCAAGUUUGGGCUGAAUGGCUAGCUCCUUGGCUGUAUUCAUACAUCUGAAUAUGCGUCUUCUGUAAACACUCUGUCAUGCGUUUGUGACCUUCAGACACCUAUUAGGGUCGUCACACAGUGUGUGUAGAUCUAGAAGUGAGUAGGCCGUUCAACAAAUGGGCCAGUAUCUACUGAGCGUAUCAGAUCAGAAAUCGCGGUCUUUGUGGUUAGGAGCUCAGAGAUGGAAGGGAGAGGGGAAACUGCUACGAGCUGGCGCAGUUAAGAAAGGCUUGCGGGAGGGAGGGAGGAAGAAACGCAGACUGGAUCUUAAAAAGGGAACCGGAUUCCUUAAGAAAAAGAAAAGGGCAUCCAGGUAAACGAGGACCUCCAGGACAGUCUAAUCCUGAUGUUAAGGUUAGUUGGGACAGAUCUCGGUUGAAGUUUAUACAAUCUUGCUGCCCUCAAUAAGAAACUGAAUAAUACAAAGAUGUUUUUGAAAGUGUCGCAAAAACAUAUGAGCUUGUGGACACACUGCUGGGGUCCCUUCGAGGCCCUGGAGGGGCCUACACAAGUGAGGGCCUGUGGCUUCUUCGGCUGCGGUGUAGGUCCGUCUGAGUUUGGUGUUGUGAGUCACGUUGGCCCUGCCCAGUUCCGGGCAGCGGUGUGCAGGUCAUGGGAAGCCCCAGGACCUGAGAAGGUCACCCCUUUACCUUCAGGAGUUCACAGCCUAUGGGGGGGCAUUGGUGAAAGACGGACAUUUCACAGAUCUUUUCUUUGAGUGUCUCCUGUGUACCAGGCUGAGUGCUGUGUGCUCGUAACUAAGAGUCCCUUUCUGAGAGAGCUUGGAGUCUGGGAAGGGGUGCUGUUUGAGAAGAGAGCAAAAUUUGGAAGAAAGUAGGACUGGGUUUGACUAUGACCUGUUCCCUUUUUAGCUGGGUGACCUCAGGCGGGCACAUUACUUCACCUCCGGAGGAAGCCGCUUAGCUUGUGUCAAAACAAGGCAGAAAUCUGGCACACGGGUUUGGUGUGAUGUUCAGACACGAUGCCUUAUGAUGCUUGGCCCGUGGCAGGCUGCCAGUUUGACAUUCCUUUUCUGCUGCUUUCAAGGCACCAAGAACCAACCUGACAGGCCAAGGAGUAACCGGGGUGUCAUGAUACACCAAGCGCAAGACUGUAAGCACCAUGAGGGUACUUAGUAGUAGCUGACACUAUCUUACUGGUUAUCUAUAUUUCGUCAGUAAAAUUUAAACUCCAUGGUGGGCAGGGGCCUCUUCCUGUUUGUUCAUCACUGUGUCCACAGCACCUAAAACACGGCCUGAUAUGUCGGUGACACUCAGUAAAUGUCUCUCGAAAGAAUGAGUAAAGGAAAUGUGCUUGGUGUUUUCCAUGUGUAACAGCUUGACAUGCUCCUGAGAGUUGUAGUUCACUUAUUUCAGGCUCCUUUUCCUUGAAUAUUGCCGCGUAUGUUCGUUUGUCUCAACCUCGGCCCUGUUUGGCAUUUGGGGCCAGAUACGUCUUUGCUGUGGAGGGGUAUCCUGUCAAUUGUAGGAUGUUUAGCAGCAUCCCUGGCCUCUACCUACUUGAUGUUAUUAACACCUCUUCCUCCAAGUUGUGACAAACAAAAACAUCUCUGGACAGAUGUCCCCUGGGGGCCAGAAUCGCCCCCAAUUGGGAACUGCUGGCCCACGCAGUAGUUUCAGGCUUAGUGAAAAGAAGCUCUUAAAGUCUUAGGGUCAGGACGGAUCGUAAAGGUCGUGGGUUAUACCUUCUCUACUAUCCAUUUAUAAGUGUCCAAGCCAAUCCAGCUGCACCCACCUCCUCUGACAUAUUCUCAGUGCCAACAAAUGAGCCAGCCAGCCAUGCACCCUUUGACACACACAGUGACGGAACCAUUCUGAGCACAUGGCUGCAUGGAGCCGGCCAGGCAUGGUGCCCAUGUGUAAACACUGUCGUUAACGCCUUGAAAGCAAUGCCCUUGCAAAAAGAUGGAGUUGGAACAGCUCUGCCUGAUCGCCACAUUCAUGCCCUGCCCUCCUACUGCUUCCCUUUCUUCCCUUUGUUUUUAUUGAUCUCAAUCAUCUCCCUGGCCCUUCCAGAAGCAUUUUGAAAAUGGAAGGCAGGAAAGAAGAAAGAGGAAGAGGAGAAAAAGGAAAAAGGAGGUUCCAUUUUUUGGGCGGAGAAUGCAUCACACGUGUCCAUGUAUGCCGGGCUUAGCUUGUUUACGGACUUCGUUUAAUCGAUUUAUUUGUUUAGCCCGAAAGUAAUCACUUUGGAGUAGAAACUUGAAAUGUGAACAGCCGCACGAUGUCUGUAAAGUCUAUUUACUUGUGAUUGUGCCAAACAAGUAAGAUGCCAGAAAGAAAUGCUGUUGCUUCCUCAACUUUCCAAGUAACAGUUCUAGCUUUGAUUUUUAAAUGAUGGUUUUUUUAAAUUGAAAGAGGAUUUUAAUUUUGGACAGAAAUGUAAAGUGCAAGGCAUUAUGGAACCAGUUCUCGUUUCCCUGUUUGUGUUUUGGUUUGGUUUUGCUUUUUUUUUUUUUAAUGCCAAUAACUCACCCAUUUUCACAAAAAUGAGGAGAACAAGAAUUUGAUAUUUUGUUACAGAAACUUAUUUUUCCUUAAACCCCUGUCCCCAAGCCCUGGCCCCAGAUACACACACACACACACACAGCCCUUUGAGUCUCGUCUCUCACUCGUCAAGGAAUUUUAAGUCUGUCACUUUAUUCUUUGCCAUUUCCCUCUCUGACCUUCUAGCAUUUUAAAGUGUGCGCGUGGGGUCCAUGUCCUUUAACUUGCUGGCAGAAUCACUGACAAGAAUCAAGCUUUUUGCUUGAUACUUAAACAGUGGAAAGAGUCUAGUGGAACCAGCUGCUCCAGACUUCUCUUCUGUGGGGUGGAGGUUGGGGUGCUUCUGAAUUUCCACUGAACUUGCCUCUGAGAUGGACUUCAGGUCUGCUGUUUGACUGGGGGGAGGACAGGAGGCAUGGAAAGUCAAAUUAGUCCAGAUUUGUAGAUUUGGGGUUUUUUUUUUUUGAAGGCUUUUCUAAUACAAGAUUACUUUUAUUUCUCUUUCUCUUUAUAAAACUUUUUUUAAAGUCUCAUAGUUAGAGAUGUUCCAGAAAAUGUCACUUGAAGAGGAAGUAUUGAUUUUAAUCUGGCAUAACACUAGUUACCAUUUUUAAAUCGGUAUUACGUUGUAAUUUAAACUUUAUCUGUAACCAAAAGGUCUGUUGUAAUGGAUUGCCUGACAUCCUGCCAUUUGUACCUGUAUCAAUAUUGUGUAAAAAUUCUGUAUCAGAAUAAUGACAGUAUUGUAUAUCAUUUGAUUUAUUUUAAUAUUAUAUCCUUAUUUUUGUCACAGUUGUCGUCAGUUUUUAUUACAAGGAAACUCCUCUAUAGCUCACAUUCUAAAGUGGGUAAAGACUCCAAAGUUGGUAAAAUAGCACUAACGGCAUGUGCAUUUUCAUUUUACAUACAGGAAAGUUCUGUUUGCAUGAAUUUUAAGGUAGUACAAAAAAUAAACAGUGUGUAAAUCAGUGAGGUUUUGGAGCACAACGGAAAAUUAUGACAUGCAAAACUGACUGUAAUCAGGAAUGGACUCAUGGGAUUUCACUGUGUUGAUCUGGCCAAUAGUGCCGGAGUGUUUGUCAUGGUUAGGCAGGUGCUAGCCAAAAGGCGAUGCCCGUGUAGCCUGGCCUUGAAAAACCCACGGAGUAUUGUAAAUGAUUGAACGUCGCAAAUAAACAACUUAUGAAAUGCGUUCAACUGACUAAACUUGACCAUGCCAACCCACUAACUGUUUCCAAAAAAAAAAAAAACUGUCCAUUUGUAGUUCUUUACUCAGCCAGGGCUUACAAUUGUACAUUGUGUGUAACUUUACCCUUGGGGUUAACACGUCCCAUGAAUGUAUGGGAUUUUGCUGUGCUAAUUGCCAUACUUCAUCAUAGAAGUAUUAUUUUUGGUUCAGUUAGUUUGUUUUCAAGAAGCUUUCCUCAGCCCAAUGGUGUAGUGGUUGGGUUUGCGUUCUCCACUUCAGCAGACUGGGGUUCCCGGAUUUGGAUCCCGGGCAUGGACCUACACACUGCUCAUCGGCCAUGCUGUGGCAGAAACCCACAUACAAACUGGAGGAAGAUUGGCACAGAUGUUAGCUCAACGGCAGUCUUUCUCAAGCAAAAAGAGGAAGAUUUGCAACAAAGGUUAGCUCAAGCCCAAUCUUCCUCACCAAAAAAAAGAAAGAAACAUUCCUCAGUGAAUUUGUUGAAAAAAAAUUCAAGUGGAAUUGUGGGAAAAGAAACAGGCACUUCCAUAAUUUUGCUCAAUGUUGUUUUUAUAUAGUGUUUGAUACAUCCUUUUUCAUAAGUGGUGAAAACUUAAUAGGGUCAAUCAUCGAUUUUCACCCAAGUUAGAAAACAUAUAGCUAAUUUUUAUAAAAUUUUACUUUUACGGAUACCAA